UACGAGGGGGGCGAGCGUUGUUCGGAAUUAUUGGGCGUAAAGGGUGCGUAGGCGGUUUGGUAAGUCUUAUGCGAAAUCUACAGGCUCAACUUGUAGUCUGCAUGAGAAACUGCCGGGCUUGAGUGUGGGAGAGGUGAGUGGAAUUCCUGGUGUAGCGGUGAAAUGCGUAGAUAUCAGGAGGAACACCUGUGGCGAAAGCGGCUCACUGGACCAUAACUGACGCUGAUGCACGAAAGCUAGGGGAGCAAACAGG
rnacentral:rRNA from 1 species